CGAUUAUAGAUAUUUAUCUAUAGUCAUGGGCCAUCUAUGAUGUGUUCAUAUCACAAUUUAAGGUCCGUGGUUUAUAUAUAUGUGAUAUCAAUACACUUUCCCUUGUGAAUUGUAAACAAUACAAGUUGAAGUAGAUCGUAAAGCGAGUUUUAAGUUUGAAAAAUCAUAAAUCUUUUAUAAAUCAAUUGUCACUUUGUCAAUAUUAUUUGACAAAAUGCAAAGGAAUAAUGAUAAAUGCGAUGUUUGCGGUAAUAAUAAUUUCAGCGUCAUGGAUGGGGCAUUCAUAUGCGACGAAUGUGGAAUACAAUCUCAAGUAAGUUUUAACAAUCUCAUGAUAUAACAGUGAAACUUCUGAAUGGCUGACAUUGAAUCACUCAAAUUGUAAUUGCUUUUCAGAGGGUGUAAAUGUUUGAAAUUCAUGAAUAUUAAAUUAUUUUGAAAGAUUGAUUAUCAUUAAUGUAUAAUUUACUACAUAAAUAGUAGGUAUAUAUAAAAUAAAAUUGAGGGAAAAAUAAGACUGACCAAAAACCAUACUUGGAAAAAGAAUCCAAAAAACCAUAAAUAUGUAUUAUACUUAUUGUUUUAAGUUAUUAAAAAUAAUUUUUUAAAAGCAUAAUGUUCAUGUAUUAUCAGUUUUAUCAGGUAUUAGUGUUUACAAAAAAAAAAUUAAUUUAAAAAAAUGUGAUAGGUAAUUAAUAGGUAAUUUAAAAAUACAAAAUACUUAUUUAGUUAUUUUCUAUUUGCACGCAAAAAUUUUGUAAGCAGUUGUCCAUUUUUGUUACCACUAUAUUAUUUAAUGCCAAUUUUAAAAACAGAAUAAUAUGAUAUGUGUAAUGUAGGUACCUCUAAGGAAAAUCUAUCUGUAUAAUAUUUAUCUUAUUUCUGAUUUAUUGCUUAAAAAUCUUCAAUAUGUACUUUUAUUGGUCAUCUAUUAAUCUGUAAAUAUAUUAGAUACCUAUAUUUGAUAAAUAUACACAAAAAACUAACAAGUAUUGUAAAAAUUUUAAUCGUAGUAAGUCAUAACAUACAAAAAUCAUGCUUUUAAAAAAUUAUUUUUAAACUGCCUGUGUUUUUUAUUAACUCAAAAAGUAUAAUAAAUAUUUAUGGUUUUUUUUUAUUAUUAAAAAAAUGUAUGUAUUAAUUUACAACGGUUUUUUUUUUUUUUGGAAGUUUUUUUCCUAAUACCAUGAAAAAAAUUGAUCAGCUGCAUAAAUAUUCUAUUUGGGGAGAAAACUUUAGGGUUGAAGUCCGGCUAAAUUCUGUGUACCUCGUAUGACCAAUAUCACUCGAUUGAAUUUUUGAUUUUCCAAUUUAGAUAUGUCUAGUUUAAAGAUGUGUAUUAGUAAAGUUUCAUCAUUCACACACUGUCUGGCUUUCGGGUGUUAAAACUAUAGUUAAAAAAAAAAAAAAUACUGUAGAGGUGUUCUAUUAAUAUAAUAUAAUUAAUAUAAUUAAUAUGACCUUAUGGCAGUCAUAAUUUUCAGUUUUUAUAUUUUAAAUACUUUUAUAUAACAUUUUGUUAGGCAAUGAAAAAAAAGUAUUGAAAUCUCGUUUAUAUUUUUGCAGGAAAUUCUGACUAGAACAUUUAUAAGUUAAGGAAAUAAAAUGAAAAAUAUAGGGGUGAUUUUUAGAUAUUUAUUUUUUUAUUUCCCCAAAAGCCAGGUUUCAACCAAAUUCGGUCCUUGACUUUGUAAAUUUCAUCUUUAUUUGAGAUCUAAUAUAUUUUCCAAUUCAACAUUUUUUAUUAUUUUAACAGAAAUCAAGAAUAACAAAUUGUUCGCUUAGAGAUAAUCAGGUUAGUUACCCUGCCACUCCAGUCUUUUCAAUGUCUGGACUUUUCAUUUUUAUUUAAUUUUUUACCAAUGAUUGUACCUACUAUAAUUGCUUUUAAAGAGUUGGACUUUGUAAAGCACAUUAUAUCCAAGUUUCACUUCUCUACUUGAUUAAAAACAAUUUAAUUUUCUCUGGUACAUUUGAUUCUUGAAUACUCUUCAGUAUUAUGGGACCCUCACACUGCAAUGCUCCCGAGUUGGUGAGAGCACAAUGACAUUUCUUCUUCUUUGCAGAUCAUGGUCUAGGUAUCAAACACCUCAGCACAAUUAUUCCAAUGUUCGACACUAUUUUGGGCUGUCAGAUGAGUGUCAGCUAACCUAUCGUUUUUGAGUAAGUUGAUUAAUAGCACAAUAUUGAUGCACCAUCACUCUUAUCCCAAGUGAACUUCAAGAUUCUUUCACGCUUCUUGUGAAUCUUUCUCCCCUUUGUAGUUCCUUUGAAUACCACAAACUAUGCUCGUAACCACCCUGAUCAUUACAUGAUGCAUCUUGCUAAUGAGCACUUAUCUUUAUGUUCUUGUACAUUUUGAACUUUAGUCUGUUUUGUAUAAGUAAAAUAAAAUAACUUUUACCCAUUUGUAUCUAAAUAUUUCUCACUGAAAAUUUUUUCCUAUAGGGUACCAGGGUACUGUUACUCCAGUACCACCACUACCUAAAAAUGUACUAUUUACAUUUUUUUUUUUUAUAUAAUUGUACUAUAAUUUGUACCAAUUUGUACUACCAAGGUCAGAAUACCUUAAUAUUUUUGUCUUUAAUAUAAAAAAAUAUUAAAAUUUUUGUUGAAACUUUUAAAAUGUAUUAUUUAAAAUAAAAUCAAAAAUGUUGUCUUAAAAAUAGUUUUUAAUAUUUCUUUUUUACUUUGUAUGUAGUAACUUCAGUAACUCAAAAUUAUUUUUAUUGGUUUCUUGAUUUGCUCUCUGAUUUGUAGUACCGAGCUCAUAAUUUGUACAAGAAUAUUUCCCACUAAAAAAUGUUUGUAGUAAAAUUUUUUAAGUAACUGGUGCUACCCUGGUACCCCAAAGAAAAAAUUAAUUUUAUAGCGAGAAAUACUCUGGUGUAAAUUCUGAACUUGGUGAUACAAUGUAAUAAAAAUAAAUUGAAAAGUCCAGACAUUGGGGUGCCCAUAUAACCCACCUGCAACAAUCUCUUUCACUUUAACACACCCGUUUAAUUGAAAAUGUAUUAUAAACAAAACAAAAAUACAAAACAUUAGCAGUCAAGACAUUGAUAUUUCCGUAAUCUUAUCUUAUUGAUAAGUAUCAACUUGAAUAUUCUAUGUUACAAAUUAUUUUUAAAACAAAACGAAAAUGUUUAAAUGUGUGAGUGUAGUCAAUAAUUAAAACAUACUGAAUGUUCUACACCAGAAUAAUAUACUUUAAAAUGUAUGCCUUAACAUAUUUGUGUUAUUGUACAUGUUUGUUAUAUAUCUGGAACCAACAAUAGUAUUGUGGACCCUUGACAUAAAUGCAGGGGAUCUUGAUUUAUAUUUUAAGUAUUGAAAUCGUAUACAAUAAAAACAAAUAUUAUUUACAUUCACAUAUUUUUAUCAUACAAAUAAUACAACUGGUUUAACAUUAUAAUUCAUAUAUACAAUUUAAAAAAAAAAUGAUUUUCAAAAUUUAAAUUAAAUAAUAGGUUUACUUGUAUUUGACUGGUUACUUUUACAGACCAUAAGAGAAGAACAAAUUAAUUUCAAUGACCAUAUUGUGACUGUGAAUAAGGAUGAUAAUGAUGAUGUAGAAAUAAUAGCUGGAACUCAAAUAAAAAAUACAAACAAACUAUUGUCAUGGGAAUGUUUCAAUUUAAUACUUUUAGGACUUACCAAUGAGAUUAUUGAACUUGGCGCUAAACCCAAUAUCAAAGUAAUAGUUUUACAAAUAUGGGUCAGAUAUUUGCAACAAAUCAAAGCAGCAUUCACAUCAAAGCAAUUUAAAAAACUUCCAAAGUUAAAUGUGAUUAAUAACAUGUAAGAUAAAAAAUCAAUUAUUGUCUAAAAUAGUUUGUUAUUGAUUUCAUCACUUAUUUUAUUAAAUUAAUAUUGUUCUAACUAUAAUAUCAUCUAUAAUAUUGCACAACAAUUUUAAAUUAAAAUAGAAGUUUCUGUGGUAUUGAAUAAUAUUGUAUGAAAACCCAAUGAGUACAUUUGCAUUUUAAUAUAAAUACACUUUUUUAGUGACUGUUCAAUUUUAUAUGGUGUUGAUAAUAUAAAACACAAAAUAUUGCAAGCGAAAACCGGAAUAAAUUGCAGAGGGAGAAAACGUCGCUUAUAUAAAAAAAGAUCAUAUUUGUCUAGUGAAUCCUCAGCCACAGUUAUAACAGCUAGUCAGAAACGAAAUAGAGUAAAUACUAUUUUAAUUUUAAUAAGAUAAGACCUAUUGCACUUUCAUUUACUGUAUUUGUCUUUCAAUUGACAACAUAUUCAAGUUUGCUUCGUAAUAUUUUUUCACAAUUGAUAAAAUACAAAAUAGAGCAAAAUAAUUAACAUUAAUUAAAAAACAAGAGGGCUGAAUACAUUAUUAUCUUUAAAGAUCUUUUUGAUAUUUUAAUUAAAAGUUAUAUUCAUAUUUUAAAAAUUAAUUUUUUUGUCUUAAAAAAAUUAGUUUUAUACUUUUAACUUUAUUGUAAUUUUAGUCUAAUCACUAAACUAGAGAAUUGUUGGAUAUUAAUAGUUUCCAUAUGUUCAGUAGAAAAUAAAGAAUAUAAGUACUAAGGUAGCACGAGUAUGAUAUCUAAUAGUUUAAACAACGUUUUUAGAUUUCCAGAAAAUUACGUAGAAUGGAUAAUUCUACAAAAGAUUCAAUGACUGGACUAUCAGAUGAUGUUAGUUUAUUGCAAAGAAGUCAAAAGCCAAGUAGGAUCAAGUAAGAUGAUUAUAAAUAAAUUACAAAGUUUAUAUUAGGGUGUAUCAGGAACUUUUUUAUCAGAUAUUCUACUUCUUAUUCCUUAGAGCAGUGUCCUGUGAAUAACUAGCAGGGGUUCCAGGAAGCCCCGGAAAAAGUUAAUUAAAAUUCUACCACAGUUAACCAUUUAAUGAUAACAGUAAUGAAAAAAGCAGCAUUGGCAUGCCAUAUAUAUGCUGUGCUGCAAUGCAGUGAAUACCUAUUAAUGAUUUUUUCCUAGUUACCUAGUCAUACAUGCGCGUAUAAUAAUUUAUUACAUUUAUUUUAAUACUAUGACUACCAAUAUAAUUAAACAAAAUAGAUUAAAUUUCUUUUUAAAUACAAAAUAAUGUUUUUAUAUUUUAGGGAUCCUCAUAAAAAUGUAUUAUUAUUUGGGGUUCCUUAAUCCCAAAACAAUAUUUUGUUCAGACUUGAAAUGAUUUUUUAAGGUCUCAAGCAUUAUUUUCUAAAAAAAGAAGUAGAGUUGUUUUUGUAUUUAUAUAAGUAAUAAUUUUUAAAUUAUGAUCAUUGAAUUGAAAGUUAUCAGAAAAAGAAAAAAACUGAGGUACUGGGGGCAGGUAUGCCACUGUUAUGGGUGAGAAGGUAGGAUACAUACAUAUUUUUUUUAUAUCUGUAAGCAAUGAUAAACCAUUGCUACUGAAAAUGAUUCAAAGUCGAUUUCAAUUAUACAUGUUUUGUUGAAAGGCCAUAAUAUUUUCGUCAAAAUUUAAUAUUAAAAUUCUUAUUUAAAAAAAAAACAUUACAUUAAAAUUAUUUUUUUUUUUUUGACCACAAAGUACACCUUAUAAUAAAUCUGUUGAAUUUUGAUGUAUUUCUGAUUAAUCUAACAAUUUUAUCCACUGACAACCUACCAAAUAAUUGUUUAUAAACUCUCAAAAAUUAAAAUGUCUAUGAACAGCUCAAAAAUGGCUCAAAUUUAUUCGAAAAUUGUUCUAUUUCUAGAAAAAGUAUUUGUAAGUUUUCUGUCAAAAUUUUAAGUUUUUAUACAUUUUUAUUUGAAUAACAACAAAAUUUAAAAUAUUAAAGGUAUUAUUUUUGUAAAUCUUCCUGUUCUUUCUACAAUUUUUUUUUGGUUUUGCUUAAUUAUUAGAAAACCUAUAGGAGAAAAUUAAAAAACUACUUUUUUACUUACCAACUAAAUUAAAAAUACAGCAAAAAGGUCACUUGUUGUUUUUAAAAACACUAGUUAAAGGUGGUUUCAAGAAUUUAUUUAUCCAAAAAUUUACUUUCAAUGGCCUAAAUAUGUAGUAAAAUUUAGAAUAUUAAAUUUGGCAAAUAUGAUAAAUGUUCUUUUCUUCUGCUAAUUUUUGAUAUAUACCUUAAAACCUUUUACCUCAAAUAUUAUUAUUUAUAUUUAAAAAAAAACGCAUUUUUUCCUAAUUUGUUAAUGAUGAUAAAAUUCAUUCCUUGUUCAAAGUCUAAAAUUAGGGGACAUUAAGCUGUAUGGAACACAAUUUUAUGGAUUGAAGAAUAUCUAAUAAAAAAAAAAAAAAAAAUCCUGAAACACUAAUUUAUAUAUUUGUUUGUAUUUUCAAAACAACAUUUUGGUAUUUUAGGAUCAAAUUUACCAAAAAGGUAAAGACAACUUUAAAAUCAUUACCUUCUAAGACUGAUGAUCUUUCUACUGAAGAAACAACAAAUCUACUUAGAGAUGGAAAAAAAUGUUGGUAUAAAUUAAAAACUGUUGAAAAAAAGAAUUUUAUAAAUAUAAAGAAAUUAAUAUCUAUUAUACAAUUAGCUCUCAUGAUCAAUAACGAUGAUAUUUUUAUGUCUGAUAUAAUGAGGUAUAUUCUAAUAAUAUUAUUUUAAAAUUGUUUUUAUUAAAAUUUGUUUACUUUUAUUCAUUAACUUGCUAUAGAUGGAUUCAUGAAGGACAUUUGCAUGUAAAUCGUAUUGAUAUGUAUUUACCAGAAAAUGUAGUGCAUGGUAUUAAUAUUUGUAAAAUGGUUAAUAUUUCUUCAAGAAAAACAUUAAAUUUUGAAUUGGGCCAAAUAUUUGAUGUUUUCAAAAUUAACUAUUUACCUAAUAUUGAUUUCAAAAAAUUAGUAAUUCGUUUUUGCGAUGAACUUCAACUUCCAAGUAAUUAAUUGCUAGCUAAACUAUAAAAGUAUUUUGUAUUAACUUAAUUUUAAUUGAAAUCUAGGUGAUUUUACAAAUUUUGUUUGUAAACUCGUGUUAAUAUCUCCUCCAGAUUUAAAAUUAAUCCACUUAUUAAAUGAUAUUGAAAUAAAAGCAAUGUCUUACAUUCUUUUUGCUGCCAAAUUUCUAUUUACUCUUGACGGUAAUGCAGAAAAUUUAUCUUCAGAUUUUGCUGAAAAAGUCAACUUGUAAGUUAUUUUUAUUUUUUAAUUACACCAAUUUAUAGAUCAUUGGCUAUAAUAACAGUGUUUAUUACAUUUCUAUAUUUAUAAACAAAUCAUCUUAAUGUUGUAAACUAUAUUUGACUCUUAGGUUUUUUUACCCUUUGAAGCUUAUCUCCUUUCAUUCAAACAGUUUAGUAUAAUAGCAAUACAUUUCAUUAUCUUACUGUAUCCCUUAUUUAGAUUUAAAAACUUAACAAGUCUAUAUAUUUAGUUGUAGACCUUGAGAAAUUGUUUUCCUUGUAUUACCUCCCUAAAUAUUUGUGGUAAGUACUUUUUUUUUAAUGUUUUUUCCUAUAUGUCUCUUAAAGUUGCCUCACACUGGAUUAGAUCGGUUAGGAAACGUCACGUCGGAUUGGAAUGGAACCAAAUUGUUUGUCGACAAUAUUUUGACAGAUUUGCAUCCACACUGAUACAAAUAUACGUGCCAUCUUUUGGUUAUCAUCGUUUUGUAAUUAGUUGUAUGUAAAAAAUUGAAAGUUUACAACAAUAAUUUUUUUUUUAUUAUAAGCAUUUUAAUAUUUUUUUGAUAAAAACAACUUUGACAUAAACAAUUAAAAUAUCUCAUAUGAAAAAUGUAUUCGUGAAGUGCAGAAAUAUUCAUAUUUAUAUGACAUAGGUCAUAUAUACUAUUACGACUCCGUUUUGAAAGAAAAUACCUCAUUACAUUAAUAUUACAGUUUUUCACAUGCAUAUUGAAAUUUUUUAAAUUAAAUAGCAAUAAAUUAAAAUUAAAACUAUUUAUUGUCAAAUUAUAAUUAAUUAAAUACUGACCUCAGUGUUACUGCUAACCGUUCGACUACUGAUAUACAUUUUCUAAAAUUUGUGUUUGUUUUUUGUAUAUCGGGUUUAUAUGCUCUAACAAUUGGCAAAAUUGUUUGUAACUUAUUCGGAAAUAUUGAAAAAAUUGUUUAUUGUCCUGUUUUAAAUCUAGGAAUAGUUUAUAGAACUCUCCUUUUUUCCUUGCCAUAUGCAUGCUAUGAAUCCACUAUCUUUUCGUUGUAUAUUUUUCUUUUUCUUCAGAUUCUAACAAAAGAGCUAGUGUGAAUAUCAUGUCUUUUGUUACUACUUGUAUCACUCAUUAUAUUAUAUUAUUAUUUAUAUUUUACAAACACUCAAAAAUAUUAAAUAUAAUUAAUGUAAUAAUGAGCUUUAUUGAUUUCAACCAUUGAGCACGAGCAAUGAGAUCAAAAUGGCCAAGAAUAUAUGGCCGCGGAAUUCAAGCUGAUUCCGGCAUAGUGUGCAGACAAAAUUUGUUUCCGUUCUGAUGAUGUAAAUUUGUUUCCUUUACGCUCCUAUCUAGUGUGUGGCAACCUUUAUAAUGAUCUAAUGUUUCAUGGUUUUGCUUCCAAAAUAUCCAUAUUCUAAUAUUUUAUCUAUUUUGAAAUAAAUUGAAUCCUCUGUGUUAUAUGCUUAUAAUAUUGUUAUUUUGUAUAUAUUAUAGUAAGAUUUAAUUUGUAUGUAAUAAUAUUUAAACGUAGAUCAAAUAAAAUAGAUAAAAAAUUGUUCAACUGGAAUGAAUAUGUCGAAUACAUAGAAUGUAGAAAUUCAGUCUUAUCUGAGUACAACUAUAUGUUGCAUAAAGAUUUAUAUGGAAAUAGUAUACGCAAAACUCAGUUAUUUAUCAAUGAUUGGAACAUUAAGAAGUCGACUAUGCCAAUAGUAAAAAGUAAUAAUCUCAUUAACCUUUUACUUAAAUAUUUAUUUAUUUAACCAAAAUGUUGUUUAUACUGAAUAGCUGAACAAUUAAGUAAGGGCUUUAGAGAAAGUACUGAAUGUUUAUUAAAAUCAUUGCCUAGAGAUAAAAAAGAAAAAAGUUAUAGAGGAAUUCCUGCUUCAACCAAACCAUUGUCAUCAACUUUAAAAUGGAUAUUUGAAUAUUAUUCAAUGCAAUUAAGUGACGAAACAAAAAGAAUACUAAAACAAAAUUUUAUUCAAACUGAUAUUUUGUAUUUAACUGACAAAAACAGGUACUUUUUUACACAAUAAAAUAUCAAUAUCAAAUAACCAAUUUUUAAAUUAUAGCAAAUUUACACUGCUGUAUGAUAAGCCUAAAGCUACUAUAAAAACAAACUUUUUCUUUUUACAAUAAUCAAUUAACAGAAUUUAUGAACUGUGUAAUUUACAAAUUAUAUUUAUUAAAUCAGUCAUUAAAUUAAUAUAUAUAAUUGAUUAUUUGAAAGCAGUGCCAUGCAUAGUGGGGAGAUUAAAAGUUUAUCCCCAUUGAUUUAAAAAUGCAAACAAAAUUAAGUAUUUAUUUAGUAAUUUAAUCUUGAAAUUUAUAUAUUUUAGUUGAGGAAAAGCUUGAUGUAAAUAAUAAUAAUAGGUAAUAUUAUCUCAUAUUUUACAAUAUUAUAGUAAAUUUUUAUUUUUGUAUUGUACACACAGAAAUGGCUGGCUGGUUUGAUAUUAAAAUAUUUUAAAUUCUAACUUUUUACAACACAACAUAAAAAAUUCCUAAAAAAAAAAAAUAUGUAUAUAUUUCCUAUAAUAUCUAUGGUGCUACUAUUUUAGGGAAUUUCCUACUAUUAAUUUUAUUAAAAAUAUUUAAAAUUAGCAAAAAAGAAAACAAUUGAUUAAACUGAAUUUAAUUGUUUAUAAAUAAAUAAAAUGUUAUAUAGAUGACAUCAUUUAGUUAAUAAGAAAACUGUACGUUUUCAGUAUUGGAUGUGUGUAUAUUUUUUUUAUACAAAAGAUCAAUGUUAUUAUUAUUGAUAAGCAUUUUAUACUUAAUAAAUAUAUAAAUUUCAAUUACUCUUAUUGUUUCAUGACUAAAUAAAAUGCAUUCACAGACUAUGUAUUUAUUUAUUAGUAUUACCUUAUAAAUAACAUUUUCAUUGGCUAGACUGUUUAUUGAUUGGGGGAACAUUGAUUAUAAUUACAAAAUGCUUUACAGGGUUUGUUUGAAUACUCACAGUCAUUUUAAAUGAAAAUAUAAACAAAAUUGUUUGAAUAUAGAAUAUAAAAUCAUUAAAAUUAAAAUGUGUACAGUACUAUAGUUAUUAAAAACUAGAUUAGUUAGAAAUAAGCACUAAAAUAAAUUGGAAGCUACAAAUCUAUUAAAAUAUUUUAAAAUUAUAUUAAAUUUAAAUUACAGUAUAAAAAUUAAUUUUAAUUAUCAACACACAUUUGUUUAUAAUUUACAUUUUAAUAUCAAUAUUUUUUUAGUUUAUUUUUAAGUUUAAAUGAACUUGAAAAUAAUUAAUUUAAUCAACAAAAAUAGUAUUUUUAUAACACAAUAUUUUUUAUUUUAUAUUGUAUAUUAUAUACAUAGGAUUCACCAUUUAAUUAUCAGUUAUACACCCACAUAUAAAGUCCAACCAUCAAAAUUAUAUUACAUGGCCAUACUUUGCACAUUUUUAAUUUUUAAAAUAGUUUAAUAUCCAGCGGACAGCGUCAAAUAAAUAAAUAACAUAGUGGUAAUAAUGGUGUGUGAGAGUAGGUAACGAAAAUGUCUUACUAACACAUUCAGCUUACAAUUAUGCAAUAAAUAAGAUAUUGAGGAACAGAAGAGAUUUAGGGUUAAAAAAAGGAAUAAUAAUAAGUAUUGGAGUUGUAAAUUAUGAGGGAGUAAUUAUGAUAGGGGUGGAGGGUUAUGGUAGGCAUUUAAUUUGACAUGGUAAAUGCAUCAAUGCGAGUUAACUCUGAUAGGGGUGAACGUAUCAGUUAAAAUAAAAACAAAAAUACAUAUAUUAUUUUGAGAACACAGGGAUGAAAUAAUUUGUAUAUUUUUGUUUAUUACUGUGUAUGAGUAAAGCUGUGCAUGACUUAGAUAAUAAAAUUAUAUUAUGUAUUAAUAAAUUAUAAUCUCUGAAAUAUUAUUAUUUAAUUACAUUGUAUUUCACUUAUUUCUAAAAAAAAAAAAUAGUAAUAAUUUUUUUUUUACAGAAUCCAAAAUUUAGCUGAUGAGUGUAAUAUUCCUAUAAAAGUUAACUGUAAUAUGCCAUUGCAUUACACAAAACAAGUCACUGCAUAUAGUUAUUUUACUAGUAUUCUUAAGCAUACUGCACAAAUGAAAACAUUUACUAAUGUGCAUAUAAUUGAUGAACCGUUAAACGAAAAUAAGCAGAACAAAACUUUACAUUCUAAUUUUAUUGAAGAAAUACCAAAUACAAUAUUUUUAGGAACAGGCAUCAACUAUUGGUACUUACAUAUAGAAAAACUUCAAAAUGCUGAUAUUAAUCAAUCGCACACAAUUUUAAAACAUCAAUUACCAUAUUCGUUUUUUUGGUUCAUGCAGCAAUGUGGUAAGAUAUUAGAUUGCCAUCAAUCUGAAUUAUAUCUGGAACUCAUGCAUAUAGAGGAUAUAUUUAUGAAAUUUUUUGAAAGAAAUGAAACAAGCAAUCAAACAACAGAUUUUGAAGAAAUGUUAUCUAAUAUUACUUUAUAAUUAAUUUUCUAGGAACUCAUUAAUUUUAAAAUAUCACCGUAAUAAUAAAAAAUCAAUCUCAUCAACACAGUUUUCACCAAAUAAAGUGAAUCUUGUAUUAUUUAUUGAGAUCUGUAUUUCGCUGACUAAAUAAUAAAGUCUUGGCAAAAAUUUAUUUCAACCAGCCUAUCAUGAACACCGAUAGUAAUUUUUUGAUGUUGGCAUGUUAACAGACAAUUUUACAGUAAAAUCAAGAAAACCAAUAAAUUGUAUAUCUGACUGAUUAUUUUUAUAUUGCUGAGAAGAAAACCAUUUGAAAAUGUACGUGAUCAAUAUAGAAAAAAAUAUUGUCCAAUUUUAACCAGAAACAUCCAUUCUGCUAUGCUUAUUCAGAGAUGGUUUUUUUUAUGGUGGAAUUUAAAAUGCUUUGAUUUAAAGUAGUUUGAUAAGUAAUAAAUCAUUUAAAAAAGUUAAGUAAUUGGAUUUCAAUAGAGAAAUAAACCACAAAUUAUGCUCCAUGACACUUCCCCUACCUUAACUUGAAAAUGAAAUAUUUUGUCAAUGGAUUAAUGGAAAUCAACAGUUUCAAGACCAAGAAUUUUUUAAAGUAAUACUCCAUCCAUUAAUGGAAUUUUUAGCAUAAUUUUAGUUUAGCUCUUGUGUGAAUUCUAUUAAUCAUUAUUUUUUUUCAAAAUGUGUAUUUUCACAUGUACAUUGAAAAUGUAAAAAUAAUCAGACAUACUCCGUUUAGAAGUUAGGGGGAAAACUUCAUAAAGUUUGCUUUUUACAUUACGUGUAUUUCUUCAUUAGAAUUUAAUAAUUUCAAAAAUAUAUUUUUCCUGAAUGUGUUGUUUUUAAUGAUUAAUCAAUAAGUAUAAUCAAAAUUUAACUAUAUAAUAUUUACUUUAACAUUUUUUGUAAAAACACAUUUAUAAAUAUAGUGAAACCUCUAUUCAUGGACACCUCUCAAUAGUGGACACUUUUUAAUUCCCCGUCAAAAAUGUAUGUACAUAAUAUGAGUUAUAGCCUCUUAAUAGUGAACGUAACCACUAAAAACUGAUACCAAAUUUAAAAAUUACCUCUUAUAAAUUAACACAUUACAUGCCCAUACCAAAAAUGUUCAAGUAAUAAAAAUUACUAUACACAUUUAUUUUAUAUACAUUUCAUUGAUAUUUUAUCUUAUCUUAUCUUAAGAAAACGUUAUCCCGCAUCUUCUUGUCUUCUGUCUCAGUCCAACUACCAGGGGGUAACAUGCAAAACAGUGCUUACACAGAAUAAGUAAAACUUGCUUAAUUUUGAUUUUAGAGUAAAAGUGCCUAUUAAGAAAUUCAUAGAGAACAAUAUUUUGAAGGGAAUGUCAUGGGUGUUUUUUGAUUUAUAAACUAUUGAAAAACAAAAAAAUAAAGGUUUUUAUAUCUUUUAUAACAAGCUUUUUAUUUUGAAAUAAUAUAACCUAUAGAGAACAUUUUUUAAUUCCCCAUGGAUGUCCACUAUACAGAAGUUUCACUGUAGGUUUUUGAAAAGACGUAUAUUUCAAUGCUGAUUGGUUUUACUAUGAUGUGUUUUUUAUAUUUUUUUUCUGUCCAUGGACAACUUUUCUACUUGUAAAACUUGCACCGAAGUAUAGACUUUAGCCCCUUUUCUGAAAGGUAAUUUUCUCUAGUUGAUACGUUAGGGAGCUAAUUUUUCCGACGGUUUUUUCUAAGCAAUUGGGAAAAUCCGAAAGAAAAUGAUAUGUAAUAUGGCAAAUAUGUACGGCAUUAAUGUUUUCAUUUUUUUAUUAUAUUUAGACAAUGUUUUCAACCAAAAAUAUUGCUCUAAUUCAUAAAUGACCAGAGAUCAAUUUUGUUCCUAAUAAUAUUUCGCCACUGACAGAGUAAGUCAUUUUUUUCGAUAUCUUAAGUAUUUUACAUAACAAUUGAGAAAACCAAAAAAAGAUGAAAUAUACAAUUUUUUUCAAAUUACAGCACAACGAUUUUAUUAUUUUAAAUUUGUUGUAUAGCUUAUUUUUUCUCCCAUAAAUAUUGUCCCAAUUAAUAAAUCAUAGUAAACAUUGUUCAUUUCAUUUUUAAUCUAUUGGUAGUCUAAAUCAUAUUUCGUUAUAACAGUUUAUCGUUGGUCACAGGUAUAAAUUAAUUAACUAUGUAUCCCAUUUUCCUCAAACCCAACUACAACAAUGGUCGCACCCGUCCACAGAUUCACCUCUUUUUUCUUUUUUUUUUAAUACAGAUUUUACAUAACAAAUCGGUGUUUAUUUCAUAUUUGUUUAGUUUUAUAGUUUUUCAAGGUUUAUAUACAAAAACUAUAAAAUAUAAGUUUUGAAUACACUAUGAAUAUUAAUUAUUCAUUAAAAAUUACACAUUUAGGAAAUACAAACGUUUGAAAAUAUUUAAUUAGAACUAUGGCUAAUAAAAUGAAGCACAAAACGUUACCAAUAAUGUUAAAAAUAAUGUUUUAAAUGUGAAAAUGCAUUUGUUGUGUUUUUAGGAAUGUGUUUACGAGUAUAAAUCGAACAUAACGCGUAGUUUUAAUACAAUGCGUACUCGUCCGUUUAACCAGCAACUACUAGCGGUGAAAAUACACAAUCCGACAAAAUACCGCUCGAAAUUUCCUGAACAUGCCACUGAAAUCCCCAUAAACAGUGAAUACUGGAUAAAAAUAAUAAAUGUAAAUAUAAACACAAUAGGUAAUCGUUCCCCAGUCGACGCACCGCUACUCCCUGCUCUGCGUCACUGAGCUUAUCUAUGAAUCUGUAUUCUAUUUUCGCAAAAAUGUACCGCUAAUAUUUCACCGUGCGCACGAAAUUCCGCUGAUCAUAUCAUUUAUGAAGAUAAUUGUUAAUUGUAAUUUAAUAAAUAUACAC